ACGAACUCCUUAAUUCAUUCUAAUAGGAACUUUUCCCUCAUCUACCCUACAGCACCGAUCUUGCACCAAGUGACUUUCACUUGUUUCCCAAGAUGAAGAACCGGCUUGCAACACAGAGCUUUGAUGACAACACGGAACUCCAGAUGGAGCUUUGGCUAUUGAGGCUUUGUACAAACAUAUUUUGAAAAUUUUGAAUGGUAAGGUUCUGCAAACAGUGUUUUCAUUUGAAUAGGCUAGAGAGGAAGUAGCAUUAAAUUCUAUCGACUCACAAACUUUUAUUGUAUUUGAACAUGUUCAUAAUAAAAGUUCUUGUACACA